UGGUGGUAGUAGCAAAUAUUCAAAUGAGAACUUUGAAGACCGAAGUGGGGAAGGGUUCCAUGUGAACAGCAAUUGGACAUGGGUUACUCGAUCCUAAGACAUAGGGAAAUUCCUUGUAAUACAAUGAGAGCUUGCUCUCAGUUGCCGAAAGGGAAACAGGUUAAUAUUCCUGUAGCUAGAUGUGGAUAUUGUGGCAACACAAACAACCCUGGAGACGUCAGCAGGAAAUCCUGAAAGAGUUUUCUUUUCUUUUUAACAGCUUAUGACCAUGAAAUUGGAUUAUCCAGAGAAGUGGUUAGAAGGUUGGCAGAGCAAAUCACUAUCCGAUUUGUCAGGAACUUUCUUGAUGGCCCAUGAAAAUCCAGGCACGAGUUUAUAUCACACUAGGUCGUACCCAUAACCGCAUCAGGUCUCCAAGGUUAGCAGCCUCUGGUCAAUAGAAUAAUGUAGGUAAGGGAAGUCGGCAAAAUAGAACCGUAACUUCGGGAAAUGGUUUGGCUCUAAAGAUUGGUUGUAUGGGGCCUUUUCUGAACGCUAGAAUGAAUCUUAUUGCGAGGCUCUGCUGAGUGAUUCGUUUCGUUCAAAACUGGAUGAGAAGGUAAGCUUUUGCGCCCUGCAGCAUUAACAAUUAAUUUAGAACUGAAGCUAACAAGGGGAAUCCGACUGUUUAAUAAAAACAUAGCUUUGUGAUGGCGUGAAAACGUGUUGACACAAAGUGAUUUCUGCCCAGUGCUCUGAAUGUCAAAAUGGAGAAAUUCAACCAAGCGCGGGUAAACGGCGGGAGUAACUAUGACUCUCUUAAGGUAGCCAAAUGCCUCGUCAUCUAAUUAGUGACGCGCAUGAAAGGAUUAAUGAGAUUCCCACUGUCCCUAUCUACUAUCUAGCGAACCCACAGCCAAGGGAACGGGCUUGGAAAAAUCAGCGGGGAAAGAAGACCCUGUUGAGCUUGACUCUAGUCCGACUUUGUAAUACAACUUGGGAAGUAUAGCCUAGGUGGGAGAUUUUCGACCCUGUAAAACCACUAUUCUCAACGUUGUCUUGCUUAUUCCUUCAAAAAGCAUCUCUUUCAGAGUUGUAGUUCUAAGGUAGAUUUAUCUGCCGAGCUUUGAGGAAGACAUGGUCAGGUGGGGAGUUUGGCUGGGGCGGCACAUCUGUUAAACCAUAACGCAGGUGUCCUACGGAGAGCUCAAAGAGAACGGAAAUCUCUUGUAGACUAAAAGGGGAAAAGCUCUCUUGAUUUUGAUUUUCAGUAUGAAUACAAACUGUGAAAGCAUGGCCUAUCGAUCCUUUUGCUUUACAAGUUUUAAGCUAGAGGUGUCAGAAAAGUUACCACAGGGAUAACUGGCUUGU
rnacentral:rRNA from 1 species